CGGAGGUCGUCUGGUCCGACAGGGCGACUGCCUGUGUGCUGCUCUGGCCCCCCUGUAUGCGCUGCUGCGUUUGUUGGCUGUGUUGCUGGAGGCCGGUGGUGGCGGUGCUGGUGUUUGGUGGUGGUAUCCAUCCUUCCGUCUUGUCCGCUGUGUUCCUGGGAGUGGGUUGCUUCACUGAGUGUGUCUGCCACGUGUGCCUGGUGAUUUAAGUUGGUUUCUCUUUUUUUUGGUGGAUCCUUCCCCUUCACUAGUCCUUGUCCACUCACUAGGCCUCAGCCCUGAUUAGGUUCUUUCCCCCUCCCUGUGUGAAUGUUUUUUUUUUAAAGAAAAAUGAUUGUUUAAUAAAAAGUGUAUUUUUUUUUAAAACUUGGAACCACGUCUCAUGCCCCUUUGAGUAAACGAACCUGUGUGUCUUGUAUUGAAGAAGUAAUCCCCUGGGUGAAAUUCCCAGGGUGGCGUUGUCGAGCC